CUUCGGGCCCUGUGCAACGGAUGUUCGUGAACCCCGCCAGGUCCGGAAGGAAGCAACGGUAGCGAGCCGCUCCGUGUGCCGCAGGUCAACCCGAAGUCU
rnacentral:SRP_RNA from 1 species